AUUGCUAGCCAAAUAACAGACCAUAGAAUUAAAACCAAAUAUUUUUUGAUUGCUCUGUUUCUCAAAACGGCUUGAAGUUCUUAUACAUGCAAACCUACCUCUUUUAAAAAUUAUUGCAUACGCUGCACAUCACACGCUCGAAGUUUCUUAACUCUUUCCGCAUGCAGAGCGUCAUCAAGUCCUUAAUGGAUUUUAUAUCUGCUAACUUUCAGCUUUUCACCAUUCGUUCAAUUAAUCAAGAGCUUCUCCCUGUCAAUUUACAAGAUUUUUCCAGUCUUCUGGAUGCACUAAAAUCGCUAGGCACUGAUGUAUGUUACAAGGAAGAAGACAUCCACCAACUGGCUGGCAAAGCCUUAUCCAGUGCGACCCGAGCUCAUUUUUUUGUUAAGGAGAAAAAAUGUGUCGGCAUUUAUGUCAAAGUAUUUUCAGAAACCGAUUCGAUUUUGAUUUGUGUUUCUAUUUGGCAUGCAGAAAGUUCUUGUCGCUCUACCAUCUAUAGUCUCACUCCAGAUGGUUUCGAAGGGCAAUACUGGUACCAGAGUUUAGAGCGGGUUUUGACCUCAAUACUCACUCGUUCGCAUAAGGCCGAGCUGCCUACUGCCGCUUCUUUUGACGAGCUUCCGGACUCCAGGUCUUUUCGCAUUUCUGUUCAUACUCAUUCAUAUUCAGAUGCACUGCACGACCUAAUCGAUUCAGGACAUUCCUACUUUAUGAUUGAUUUGCAUGGUGAAAUCUGUACGGACAUUGAGAGAGGCCGCAUCAAAAUCUUAUUUUGUGGCUCUUUUAACCCAUUACAUGAAGGACACGUUGGUCUGUUUCAGGUCUCUUUGAGCCAUAUUUCAGAGAAACACCCGCAUAUUGAAGCGGCAUUCGAACUGAGCGUGGUCAAUGCGGAUAAGGGACGUAUCGUAGAACAAGUCUUACACAGAGCGGCCCAAUUUGCAGGAAGAUACAAUCUCAUUAUUACGCAAGCUGCUACAUUUAUUGAAAAAGCAAGAAUUUUUCCCAAUACAAUUUUUGUGGUUGGGUUUGAUACGAUUGUUCGAGUUCUCAAAAUGGAGUACUACGGGGGUACUGAGAAGGGCCUUGUUGGUUUUUUGCGAGAGUUUGAGGAGUUGAAUUGUUCUUUUUUGGUUGGAGGAAGAGUUGUCGACGACAGGCGUAGUUUUAUGACAAUGAGUCAGGUGGUGUUUACGGAGAAGACUAAAAAAUAUGCACAUUUAUUUCAGCCUAUUGAUACAUUUCGACUGGACAUUAGUUCAACGGAGUUGAGGAAGAUUCAUUCACUUUCGUGAUGCAGGAAAUGUAAAAGGAAGGUUCAGGGCCUCGUGAAGGAUAUAAUUUUAUUAUUUUAGUAUCGGUACAAUACAACAGAUUGCGUCUUUUUUUGAGAUGUGUUUUUGUAUUUGUAUUUCUGUUUGUCUCGCCGAGGUAUGGCAUUGCAUUUCGCUCGCUAUGUACUACCACAUCGAUGUAUCCGGUCGGAUCGGAGAUUGUCUACGAAGUGUGGAAGUCGGGGAGCGACUGGCCGUAAUCUAUGCUGUCGAGAUUUGCCUCAGCGUGCUUUUUGUGCGACGAGUUUACCUGAGCUGAGUUCGAUUUCUCUGGAGUCGUCCCGCGCAUUGAAAUACGCAGAUGUAGGUAAAAUACGAGACGACGGCCGAACCGGCCGCUUUUUCAGAGAUGUGGUUAUCGUUAGAAAUGGAGACGGAUGGGAGAUAGAGUUAGACGGAUACAGGGUGCCAAGCAAAUCAGGCAAUCAAAUGGUGCUCCCAUCAGAGAGUCUCGCUAUUGGCGUGGCACUAGAUUGGGAGUACAUGCACGACCGAGUUGACCCGCGAAGAAUGUUUUUAUACAAAUUGGCAUCGAUUAGUGUGGAUUUGAGUAAGGCAGAGGAACAGUCUAGAAGGAAAUCUUUGAUACGAACAUUUGGCUUUGAUUUGUUAGGAUUGCGGACUGAAGUUGAGAACGAGCAUUUGAAUAAGCUUUGGGUCAAGCAUCACGAUCCAAUAAUCAAUUGGUUUCAAAGAGAAUUUGACACGGAGUUUUGUGUGUCGAAAGGCAUUUUUGCUGGCCAGGCCAAAGAGACCAGCGCAAUAAUUGAGAAGGCAGUGAGUUGUUUAGACAAUUGGACAUUGACUGGCUUAGCUGCUCUAUCUGACUCCACGCUUUCUGUAUUAAUAUCUCUGGCGCUUUGGAAUCGUGUAAUUACAGUGGAAGAAGCUGUGGAUGCCGCAUCUGUCGAACAUUUGGCGUUUGAAAAAGUGUGGGGCAGCGUCGAAGGAUCAACUGACUUGCGUAGACAAGAGCUAUUGACGGAUGUGGCGGCUUCCACAUUUUUCUUAAGAUCCUUACCUUCUGAUCCGUUGAACGGGGACAAAAUUGGUUAUUCGAAAAAAGUUUGAGGCUUGCAAUUAUAGAAUCUAACCACCCUAGUGUGAUAAAAAUACCUUUUGCUAUUUUUGACGAGCUAUAAAUUUUCCGAUAGGACGAAAACUAAUCUUUUGCGUGGAAACUGCAGAUCUAUUUUUUGAUUGUGAUACCUGUAUGGUAGACUAUGCUCUCAUAACACCAUUUUCGACAGAUAAAAAAAACUCUGAUCAAAAUCUUUAUUUUUAAUUCGAGCUCAGCAGAGGGUUCAUGACACGCAACGACGAACCAGAUCGUCUUUUUCAACAGCGUAGCGCGCGCUUGAAUGUACUAACUAGCUUUGAGGAUCAAAUUCACAAGAUCUCUUCCGAAUACAAUGCCUUGGAAAGCAAGCUUCACAAAGCAAGGCAUUCAAAAUAUCACAAUGUUAAUUUUGCGUAUUUGAAUCAUUUAAACAAUCACAUUUUGAUGAUGAGUGAUGUUGUCCAAUUUGGAGAGUCGAGUAAGUUGAAAAGGGGUGAAGAGAUCCUGAGCAAGCAAAUACAAAUAAUCAAAUCUCCUCGCCCGCAGGACGAGAAGAUGGACGCACUGUUGGAAUUGAAGAGAAUCCUGACUUCAUACCAAGGAUACGAUUUGCGUAUCUCCAAGUUGGGCAUAUUGGAUGCCCUGAUGGAAGAGUUGAGCGACGUCAACAAGGAAAACCACGUGAUAUCUCUCUGUCUCGAGAUACUCUCCAUGCUGACAACAUUUGCGGACUUUGAAAACUGCAAAAAGCGAGCAGAAUUAGUGAGCCAUGUUAUAUCCAGGUUAGGGAAGAACAAAACGAUCAACACGAUAGAAUUUUUAACACAAAUUCUGGCUAAUUGCUCCAACAUUCCAGGCAAACAUGACCCAAUUAUUGGAAUAUUAGACACACUAGUUCAGAAUUUGCAACUUUCCAAAAGUGUGAUGCUCUUCCAGCACUCUAUUCGAUGUAUUGUUAAUCUUUACGUGAACAAUCAGGAUAGAGACGAAUUGAAAAAAAUCAACAUCCUUGACCUGGUCACGUCUAGCUUGGAAUCUCAGCUGAAAUCAGUGAAGGAACAGGCCCUUUGGUGCUUUGCAUAUCUCUCAUUUAAUGCACGCGAUUGCUUCAAAUCCAGACCGGAUCUUAUAACUACCUUAUGUAAAAUUACCAUACACAAUAAUGCAUCUAAACCUGCGCACAGCAUGACAUGGAUAUGCCUAGCUAAUUUGGUGUUGAUCGAAGAAUACAGCUCGAAAAUCAUUGAAUUUGUAUCUAACGCGGCUAUGGAAUUUCUUACUAGUGAAGUAGAAUCGAUCAUCAUGGGCAUCAAAUCCCCCCUUCUCUAUGGGGUCAUCUCUUAUAUAGCAAAUAUGUUAUACACCGACAGUUUAAAUAUCAAAUCUGUUCCAGUCAUACCUUUAAUUGCAAACAUCGUGAAAAUCAUGGACUAUGGUGACUUUGAAAUAAAAGCUCAAGCCGCUCGUAUUUUGGCUCGACUAAGUGCAAAUAAAGAUUUACAUCGACGCAUCGAAGCUUCCCAGGCGUUUAACGCGGUUUUGGAUGUCCUGUGCAUGGGAUACAAAAAUAUUUAUCUACUUGAAGUAAUCGACCACUUCGCCUCCAAUCCAAAUUUUUAUCAAAAGUUGAAUCAUCCUAUAAUUCUCUAUACAUUGGCCAAAUUAUCAGCGCCCGGGACGAACGACAGCCAAAUACAACUCGUCGCUCACAACAUUCUGGAGAGACUACAACAAUACGGCGACGUGCAGCUUAAUUCUUGCAUCGAAGAGAUGAUGACGUCGCCAACUUCAUUUUCAAAGAACAUUGCUCGAAAUCACUAAUACAUCGUGUCAAUCCACACUAUAAACCCUCCUCUGAAUUGCUACCAUCAACGCGGCACAGACUGCCGAAAAGAUAAAAAACAGAUUGAAUAGGAAACGAUAAAACUCGAAACGCAUACCACUCAAGCUCAGCAUGAUGAUGGUCCUAGUUAUCUGAAGUUAGUCAAGUGGUUGCAUACACAAGAGUGAGCUUACGGCGUUUUAAUGGCCGGCCCUGGAAAGUUUCCAAAAUAUAUAUAUACCUGUAACUUUCUGGAAGCGUCUCUCUGAUCAAGAAAAUAACACUGAUAAAAUACAUGCCCGUGAUUUGACUGACCAAUAAAAUAAUGCUAGAUGAUGUGAUAGAAUAUGA